GUCGGGUCGUGGGCCCCACUUGCGUAGUGGGCGACGCUGGCGGUCUGGUUCCCCGGUCUCACCCGACCACAGGGUCAGAGAGUGUCUCGCUGAGUCCAAUCUGCUGCCCUUGAACUCGCUAUGUUGCCCAAGCUGGCCUUCAAUCACCAUGAUCCUCUGUCCCAACCUCCCACAGGCUGAGACUACAGCCAUGAACUGCCACGCCUGGCCAUCUCCCGCAGGAUCAGACCCAGGACCUCGUUCCAUUCUACUGAGCUGUGCUCCCAGCCAGUAUUUGUUGACAGAUAGAGUGAACAGUGAAGGAAUGAAGGAGUAAAAGAAAACUAAAAUCAAACACGCUUCCCUUGGCUCUGCCAGUGGCUCCCUACUCCUCUCGGGACAGUCUGUACCUCGCAUUGAAGGUUUUCACUAUCGGAUCACCAUUACUCACCCAGCCA